GAUGAACGCUAGCGGCAGGCCUAACACAUGCAAGUCGAGGGAGAAGCCCUUUCGGGGGCAGAAACCGGCGCACUGGUGCGUAACGCGUAUGCAACCUACCUUUCACAGGGGGAUAGCCCGAAGAAAUUUGGAUUAAUACCCCAUAAUAUUAUUGGAUGGCAUCAUUUGAUAAUUAAAACUGCGGUGGUGAAAGAUGGGCAUGCGUCCUAUUAGCUAGUUGGAGUGGUAACGGCACCCCAAGGCUACGAUAGGUAGGGGUCCUGAGAGGGAGAUCCCCCACACUGGUACUGAGACAGGGACCAGACUCCUACGGGAGGCAGCAGUGAGGAAUAUUGGUCAAUGGUCGGAAGACUGAACCAGCCAUGCCGCGUGCAGGAAGAAUGCCUUAUGGGUUGUAAACUGCUUUUAUAUGGGAAGAAUAAGGCGUACGUGUACGUUGAUGACGGUACCAUAUGAAUAAGCAUCGGCUAACUCCGUG
rnacentral:rRNA from 1 species